rnacentral:misc_RNA from 1 species
GAUGAAGAACGUAGUAAAAUGCGAUAAGUAAUGUGAAUUGCAGAAUUCAGUGAAUCAUCGAGUCUUUGAACGCACAUUGCGCCCCCUGGUAUUCCGGGGGGCAUGCCUGUCCGAGCGUCAUUGCUGCCCUCAAGCACGGCUUGUGUGUUGGGCCUCCGUCCUCCUCCCGGGGGACGGGCCCGAAAGGCAGCGGCGGCACCGCGUCCGGUCCUCGAGCGUAUGGGGCUUCGUCACCCGCUCUUGUAGGCCCGGCCGGCGCUUGCCGACACAUCAAUCUUUUUUCCAGGUUGACCUCGGAUCAGGUAGGGAUACCCGCUGAACUUAAGCAUAUCAAUAAGCGGAGGA